ensembl:lncRNA
AUGGCCCCAUGCAUUUUUUUUGUUUUGUUUUUGAGACUGGUAGUGACAGGAGGGGAAGGUGACGUUGCCAGAUACCAUUUUUGUACCAGAAGGCUGUGUGACACAGGACGGUCACCCUGGCAACCCUGGAGUGACAUUUCACUGCCUCCUGGCCACGGGCAAUCAGAGAUGACGGACACCGCAGUAGCUGAAGGGAGACAACUGCUUGCUGGAGGCUGCUGGUGGGAAAAGGCCAAGUCACAGAGAAGGACCAGCCCAGUGGGACCUAGCACAGCCGGAGCACAUGGGAUCCUCCAUGGAUGGACCAAGAUGCCUUCAAAUCGCUGCAAAAACUCAAGGCAUUGCACAGAGCAACCAACCCUUCCUCCUCGAGGUGGGGGGACGCAAGCUCCUCUGCCUUUUCGACCUAACAGAUGUUUCACCAGCAACAAAUACCGGAAGAACAGAUUCCAAGGUCUGAAAACACCAUCAUGCUGGUCACCAUCAAUCCAGGACUGGGUUUGUUUUGUUUGUUUUUUUGUUACAAACACACAUUCUCAUUUCUCAGGCAGGUAUAAAUAUUGUAGUUUCUAGUAGAAAAAACUUCCCUCUAAAUAAUAUAAAGACGACUCAAAUGAUUGCACUUAAUACAUAUGAAAAAGGUAGAAAGGAGAAUAUCCUAGUGCACAAACAUUUACUCCUGCUCUUCACAAAGCUUGUUUUCCUGUCAACGAGUUACUCUUUGGCAGAGCUUGUAAGAAAGUCUGGUUUCUUGGCACAAGUGUUUGUAGGGGGAAAAAAAAAAUGAACCCGGUUGAAAGUCUUUCUUGUUCAUUCCAUUUUCUCUCCCGUGUAGCCAGACAUUGUUCUCAGAGAACGUGGUUUGGCUGUGCUUUCCUCGAAAUGCAGAGUGCCAGCCCAGCUCUCUGGAGAGACGGCCGCCCGGCCACCAGAGCCACCACUGCAACCACCACUCGGUUGCCAUUUGCUGUCAUGCAUUCUAUCCUUUAUCUCUUUUUUUCAUAUUCUUUGUCAUUUUUAAAUUUUUUUCAAACAAAGCAUGUAUUUUAUUUGCCUGAUCUUCUCUGCAAAGCUGUGUUGAUGUUCAAGACCCACGUACUAUGAUAAAUACGGUGUUACCUUCUGCUUUCAGGACUUCCCUCGCACGCCUCUGAGAAACAGCUCGGCCUGCCUGCAGCGACUGCCAGCCCCGGUUAUAGGAAGAAAAACGAGCCCCGGCCAUGUCCCAUGGGUGCGGGUGGUUGUGGACGUGCUUAUGGCAUCUAGGAACGGAGACGGAUGUGGCGUGGAUGCGUAAAGGAAAUGAAAGAUAACAUAAAGGCCAACGAAAGGGCCAGGCUGGCACCUGGCGCAACUGGCUGCACUUCAGUUUUCUAAAAUGAAGAAGCUGCUUUGAAAGAGAGGACGAGUUUCCCCGGAGCAACGGUUGUCCCUGCGCUGGAAGCUCAGGCUGGGGGAGGCCAGGGCAUCUCCAGCCCUGGAGGAGACACAGCCUUGCUGAGGCAGGUCCGGAGAGAGCCGGGGAGAAAUCGUGUUGAGGCACCUGCGUAGCGAGACCUGGCAAUCCUGUUGG